rnacentral:lncRNA from 1 species
GGUCAGGCGAGGCGCAAACGUUGUCCGAGGGGGGCGUUACCGAAAUCGGAAUCCAGAAAACGAGAGCCGGAGGUCAGGGAGCCGAGGGUGACGUGGAGGGGAAACGAGAGUGAGGAUCACGGAAGGAAGACACUAGACAGACUACAGGGCUCUGGGGAGGUUCCGCGAUUUGCCUUCUAUCUGGCUGCUCCUCUUACAGCCUGCUGCUGAUUGUUGCAGGUGGAGACAGUGGGCCCUGUCCACAAACCGGGGCUGCUACCAGCCAGACCAGCUUCCCAGCACAAAGAUGCCUCAGGUGUGAGUCUCUGACCUUGGACCUCUUUUGGAAACUCUUUCUCAGAGAUCCUCGCGAUGAUUUUUGGUGUUCUUGUCUUCCUGUUUCUCUCUGAGGAGCUCAGUGCUGCUGAGAUGGGGACCACGCUCAACCUGAAACACAUUGUCAUCGGCCGGUGCUACAGCUAUAUCACACUCGUGAGACCUAACUCGAGGUAAGCAGUGGAGCUGUGGAUAUCACUGGAUCGUCUCAG